UGCAAGUCGAGGGGUAUAAGUCUUCGGAUUUAGAGACCGGCGCACGGGUGCGUAACGCGUAUGCAAUCUACCUUUUACAGGGGGAUAGCCCAGAGAAAUUUGGAUUAAUACCCCAUGGUAUAAUUGAAUGGCAUCAUUUAAUUAUUAAAGUCACAACGGUAAAAGAUGAGCAUGCGUCCCAUUAGCUAGUUGGUAAGGUAACGGCUUACCAAGGCAACGAUGGGUAGGGGUCCUGAGAGGGAGAUCCCCCACACUGGUACUGAGACACGGACCAGACUCCUACGGGAGGCAGCAGUGAGGAAUAUUGGUCAAUGGGCGCAAGCCUGAACCAGCCAUGCCGCGUGCAGGAUGACGGUCCUAUGGAUUGUAAACUGCUUUUGCACAGGAAGAAACACUGAUUCGUGAAUCAGCUUGACGGUACUGUGAGAAUAAGGAUCGGCUAACUCCGUGCCAGCAGCCGCGGUAAUACGGAGGAUCCAAGCGUUAUCCGGAAUCAUUGGGUUUAAAGGGUCCGUAGGCGGUUUGGUAAGUCAGUGGUGAAAGCCCAUCGCUCAACGGUGGAACGGCCAUUGAUACUGCUAAACUUGAAUUAUUAGGAAGUAACUAGAAUAUGUAGUGUAGCGGUGAAAUGCUUAGAGAUUACAUGGAAUACCAAUUGCGAAGGCAGGUUACUACUAAUGGAUUGACGCUGAUGGACGAAAGCGUGGGUAGCGAACAGGAUUAGAUACCCUGGUAGUCCACGCCGUAAACGAUGGAUACUAGCUGUUGGGAGCAAUCUCAGUGGCUAAGCG
rnacentral:rRNA from 1 species